AACGAACGCUGGCGGCAUGCCUAACACAUGCAAGUCGAACGAUUGCCUUCGUUUGAUAGUGGCGCACUGGUGCGUAACUCGUUGGAAUCUGCCCUUAGGUUCGGAAUAACAGCUUGAAACGGCUGCUAAUACCGGAUGAUAUCGCGAGAUCAAAGAUUUAUCGCCUGAGGCUGAGCCCGCGUUGGAUUAGGUAGUUGGUGGGGUAAAGGCCUACCAAGCCGACGAUCCAUAGCUGGUCUGCGAGGAUGAUCAGCCACACUGGGACUGAGACACGGCCCAGACGACGGAGGGAGGCAGCAGGGGGGAAAUGUGGGCAAUGGGCGCAAGCCUGAUACAGAAAAGAAGCGUGCAGGAUGAAGGCCUUCGGGUGGGAAAAUGCUUUUGUACGGAACGAAAAGAACACUUCUAAUACAGGAGGGUCAUGACGGUACCGUAAGAAUAAGCACCGGCUAACUACGUG
rnacentral:rRNA from 1 species